UCCAGACUCCUACGGGAGGCAGCAGUGGGGAAUAUUGGGCAAUGGGCGCAAGCCUGACCCAGCAACGCCGCGUGAAGGAAGAAGGCCCUCGGGUUGUAAACUUCUUUUGUCAGGGACGAAGAAAGUGACGGUACCUGACGAAUAAGCCACGGCUAACUACGUGCCAGCAGCCGCGGUAAUACGUAGGUGGCAAGCGUUAUCCGGAUUUACUGGGUGUAAAGGGCGUGUAGGCGGGAUGGUAAGUCAGAUGUGAAAACUAUAGGCUCAACCCAUAGCCUGCAUUUGAAACUAUCGUUCUUGAGUGUUGGAGAGGCAGGCGGAAUUCCGUGUGUAGCGGUGAAAUGCGUAGAUAUACGGAGGAACACCAGUGGCGAAGGCGGCCUGCUGGACAAUAACUGACGCUGAGGCGCGAAAGCGUGGGGAGCAAACAGGAUUAGAUACCCCGGUAGUG
rnacentral:rRNA from 1 species